UGAAGAUCAAGUAGAUAAAGAUGUUUGUGAGAUGAAAAAGAGGAUAAGAUGAUUUUGGUUUUUAGGUUUUUAAUUUUCUGGGUUUUGGGUUUAAUGAUUGAGAAAAUAGUGAAGAUGAUGGAAGAAGAUGGAGAUGAUGAAUUUUCUGGUUUUUCUUUUUAUUUUUCUUAAUUUAUUUUUUUGUUUAAUUACAUAUUUCUCCUUAAAAACGUUAGUUUUUUGACGGAAAACUGUCUGGGGACCAAAACUGUUAACGGAAGAUAACGUCGGGGAGGAAAAAUGCUAUUUUUAAAGUUUAGGGACCCCAUUUACACAUUUUGCAUUCGUGGGGGACCAAAAGUGCUAUUAAGCCAUAAUUCUAGUAUAUAAUUGAUGCUUAUCCAAAACAAAAUUAAAAAGCCAAAACAAAUUCUAUAUAAGUGAGAAUCCUUGCGUUCUCAGUUCUUGUACCUCUCAUCAACUAUCAGCGUGCUUAAUUUCUGGCCGCAUGAUCCCCAAGAGAGGCCAAGUGAAGCUGGGGAUUGUAGUGGGCUUGUUUCAUGGUGUCUCCUCUGUGGUCUCAUCCUUCACCACAAGAUGUCUUCACUUUUCUUGAGUCUGAAAUAGAGUUUAUCAUAGGGAUAGUGCACAUUUUCCCACUCAACCAAACCCCAAUGAUGAAGAGAUCUCUCACUUAAAAAGGAGAUUGGAGAUGGUGGCAAAGAAGAAGAGUCUCACCUUCCAGAAACUGGAUUGAAGAGAGAUGGAUAUAUAGUGGUUCUGACUUCUGAGAUGUCCAUGGACAAGGUAGCAUGUGGGUUUGGAUAGUUGGGAGUUGACAUCUAUGCCGCCGAGGAGGAUCUGUUAAUUAGAUUAAUGUACAUAAAAACCUCUAUUGAUGCCAUGGGCCAUGUUUCAACUUCAAGGCACCUCCACUAUACCUUUGCUUUAGUUGCUGCAAGUUAUUGUAUUGAGGUUCAGUGUUAGGAGUUAGAAGAUGGAUGAAGCAAGAACAUGAGUUAUUAAGUGGAUUUAAGGCUAGAUAUCUAGACAUAACUGUGAACUUUUUUGUUUUGUUUUUUGUUUUCCUGAUUGUGGGUUUCUUUUGAUUUCGACUAUUUAAUUUCUCAAGUAGGAGAAAAGAUUUGAUUUGGGUAGGAUAAGGGGUUACUAAAUUGAUUGUCUUUCUUUAUUUGUAAUAUGUAGGCUGCCAAAUUUCAUAAUGACAGUAAUGAUGAAAGUUUUUGGAUUCUUUGGAUAAA